AAGCGCGAUGGAGGGGGAUAACUACUGGAAACGGUAGCUAAUACCGCAUAACGUCGCAAGACCAAAGAGGGGACCUUCGGGCCUCUUGCCAUCGGAUGUGCCCAGAUGGGAUUAGCUAGUAGGUGGGGUAACGGCUCACCUAGGCGACGAUCCCUAGCUGGUCUGAGAGGAUGACCAGCCACACUGGAACUGAGACACGGUCCAG
rnacentral:rRNA from 1 species